AUUGCACUUCCACUUUUGGGAGACAUGGGUGCUUCAUUGAAGGGUGAUACUGGGCCGAGAGGUCCCCCAGGAAUCCCUGGUAGGGAGGGGCCAAAGGGAAGCAAAGGUGAACGUGGAGUUCCUGGGCUCUCUGGAGAGAAAGGUGAUGAGG